rnacentral:rRNA from 1 species
GAACGCUUGCUGCAUGCUUUAUACAUGCAAGUCGAACGGAGGCCCUAGCUUGCUAGGUGUCCUUAGUGGCGCACGGGUGAGUAACACGUGGGAACAUACCUUAUAGUACGGAAUAACUGCGGGAAACUGUAGCUAAUACCGUAUACUCCAGUAAUGGGAAAGAUUUAUCGCUAUAAGAUUGGCCCGCGCAAGAUUAGCUUGUUGGUGAGGUAAAAGCUCACCAAGGCUUCGAUCUUUAGCUGGUUUGAGAGGACGAUCAGCCACACUGGGACUGAGACACGGCCCAGACUCCUACGGGAGGCAGCAGUAGGGAAUAUUGGACAAUGGGGGCAACCCUGAUCCAGCAAUGCAGCGUGAGUGACGAAGGCCUUAGGGUUGUAAAACUCUUUCAUCGGUGAGGAUAAUGACAGUAGCCGAAGAAGAAGGACCGGC